rnacentral:rRNA from 1 species
ACAGUGUGUGGUGGGUAGUUUGACUGGGGCGGUCUCCUCCCAAAGAGUAACGGAGGAGCACGAAGGUACACUCAGCAUGGUCGGAAAUCAUGCAGUGCGUGUAAAGGCAGAAGUGUGCUUGACUGCGAGGCUGACGGGCCGAGCAGGGUCGAAAGACGGUCUUAGUGAUCCGGUGGUUCUGUAUGGAAGGGCCAUCGCUCAACGGAUAAAAGGUACUCCGGGGAUAACAGGCUGAUACCGCCCAAGAGUUCACAUCGACGGCGGUGUUUGGCACCUCGAUGUCGGCUCAUCACAUCCUGGGGCUGAAGCGGGUCCCAAGGGUAUGGCUGUUCGCCAUUUAAAGUGGUACGCGAGCUGGGUUUAGAACGUCGUGAGACAGUUCGGUCCCUAUCUGCCGUGGGCGUAUGAGAUUUGAGAGGAGCUGCUCCUAGUACGAGAGGACCGGAGUGGACGAACCUCUGGUGUUCCGGUUGUCACGCCAGUGGCAUUGCCGGGUAGCUAUGUUCGGACGGGAUAACCGCUGAAAGCAUCUAAGCGGGAAGCCCACCUCAAGAUGAGAUCUCACCAAAUCAUUCCGAUUUCUGAAGGGCCCUCGAAGACUACGAGGUUGAUAGGCAGGGUGUGUAAGCGCUGCGAGGCGUUGAGCUAACCUGUACUAAUUGCCCGUGCGGCUUGACCAUAUAA